AGGCUUCCUAGGGCGCGGGAGAGCUGCUGGGGUGAGUGGGACCCGCUGUUCGCACGGCUGCUGUGGGAGCCUUCAGCCCGGCCCAGCUGGGGCUGCCUUGGCCCUGGCCCUGCUGGCUGCUUGCAGAGCAUGUCCCCCAGCUCCAGCUCCCAGAGUCCAGUGGCUUUGUGAGGAUUUCAGCCUUCAUUCUUCAACAAAAAGCUUCCACGCACCGUCAGUGCCUUGCUAGUGUGCCAUACGCCGUGAGAUAUCUCUUCUCUUUGUGUGUGACUGAGAGCGUUUCCCUUGUGUGUGAAGUUAUUCAACAAAAUCUUGAGCUUCAUAAUGGAUACCAUGAGUGAAAAGAAAAAGAGAAAAAUAGAAUCAGAGCACAGAGUUUUCAACACUGAAUGGAUGAAUAAAUACUUAUGUACUGAGAACGAUAUGGUUACUAAAGUAAGCUUUCAAAUUUCUAAGGAAAUUGCUGCUGCUGGGAAAUGCUUCACAGAAGGCGAGUUUUUAA